UGGGAUAUAGCCAAGCGGUAAGGCAACGGACUCUGACUCCGUCAUUUCGUAGGUUCGAAUCCUACUAUCCCAGGCA
rnacentral:tRNA from 1 species